rnacentral:rRNA from 1 species
AUUCCAGCUCCAAUAGCGUAUAUUAAAGUUGUUGCAGUUAAAAAGCUCGUAGUUGGAUUUCUGGCAGGAGUGACCGACCACAAACUCUGUUUGUGAGUUGUGUCAUUCUGGCCAUCCUUGGUAAGAUCCUUUUUGGCAUUAAGUUGUCGGGAAGGGGAUGACCAUCGUUUACUGUGAAAAAAUUAGAGUGUUUAAAGCAGGCUUAUGCCGUUGAAUAUAUUAGCAUGGAAUAAUAAGAUAGGACUUUGGUGGUCUAUUUUGUUGGUUUGCACACCAAGGUAAUGAUUAAUAGGGACAGUUGGGGGUAUCCGUAUUUCGUAGUCAGAGGUGAAAUUCUUGGAUUUACGAAAGACGAACUACUGCGAAAGCAUUUACCAAGGAUGUUUUCAUUA